rnacentral:lncRNA from 1 species
AAACAAUCCUGGACCGUUGGAGGGUCCCCCUCAUGAAUUCCUAGUGGUCGAGCCUACAAAUGUAUCAACAAGCACUUAAUUAUUUAUUAAUUAAUUUUCCAUAUCCGCCUAUAAAUAGCACUCAAUGCGAGAGCCUAGAGGCCAUAAACCUCUCGAGCUCCAAAUUGCAGUUCAACUAAGGAAUUAAUGAGCACUUUGAGGCCAGGUUUUUGGCUAUGCACCAUCCUGAUUUUGUCCUCCUCUGUUUGGAUCUCAGAAUCUCGUUUGAUGCACCAGGAAGUCUCGGAAAACACUGCCGGAGGGCCGAGGGCGAACAUGACAGUUGCGUUCGCAGCAAGCGGCGGACAGGAGAUGUCUGAUACUACAUACAGUCAAUCCAAGAGGGUGAGCCCGGGGGGACCGGACCCUCAGCACCACUCCAGGGAUCUCUCCUAGCUCGUCCUGGCGAAGCCUUCGAGGACUAAGAAAAUAAACCUUGUACUGGAGUCUCUGUUGGAAUCCAUGUAUGAGUUCUCUUUUGUUUUGUGUGUUCGUUGUCUAGCGUAUUUCAGUAGUCUUGUUUGAGUUUCAGAGCUGUGGUUGGCGCUCUGUUAACAGUUCGUAAGUGUAUCUUAAGACGGUGUUCGCUGAUCAGUUUGUUGGACCCUGAAACUUAGCUGGCCUAUCAACAAAUUGACCUUAAUAUAAUAUUUUAUGGGUUAUGUACUUCGGCGCAUGAGCUUAUGAGGAUGAUGUUAGUGCAUCCACGGUCAGAUAUUUAUGUUUUGAAGGAUCCAUUUUGAUUGAAACCUUUGUAACCUUUUUAUCCAUGAGAGGAGAAUCUGCAUGAAUCUCUUUGGAAUAUACAAUCUGUCGCCACUGGGAACCAGCCCAAUCAAGAUGUCAAAUUGAGAAGAUAGCUUGAGAGCUCGGCUCAUCCGCCGUUCAGGUCAGAAAGCUCCGCUAGGUUCAUGGCGUGCCUCCGCUGUAAUAGUCCAAUGGUUGCCACACUUACAUAGCAAUGGCUUCGAUGCCAUGCAUCUUUGAUCUUGCUCGGAUCAUUGCUCCGAUGCUGGAUUGGACAUAAAACAAUAAAGAUAAAGAAAUUCAGACACUAGAGCAUUUCCAUUGAGGGGUUCUCCGAUGUUUAAAUCAAAUAUGACUCUCCGAAAUAGGAGGCCUAAGAGUAGUAGAAAGGCAAUAUAAGAGAGUAUAAAGAAAACUUACCUAGAGGGGCCCGAAGCUCGCGCCGAGUC